AUGGCAUCCAUGAUGGUCGAUGAUGACGUGCGGGUUGAUGCAGGACGAGACAAUGGGGCAAGGCCAAUGGGUCGCGAUUCUCUUGAAAUGUCUGUGUUUGAAUGUGUUUUAAUUUGUUUGGAAAAAUACUUAAAUAAACAAACACGUGGCAUGAUCUACAGCGUGAGAUGUAUCAUACAGAAGAUCAGUGAAAUUAAGCCAAAUGCACUAUACCUUUUCCGCCAUAAAGUCAAAUAAUUCCUAUGGGAUUAGGAUUAAUUCCCAACCCGUAUAAUAAUCUAACAGCUCCAAUCUGCAUUUACUCUUGUUUUAGGAUCGAUGAUGUAGCCUAUAUAUAACAGUAGAAGUUAGGAAGAACCGCAAUUGUUCAAACUUUCAGCAUUUGUAAAAGGUCAAAGACAUUUUUCCAUGCAAUACGGAAAUAAAAUGUAUAAAAUACAUUUGUAACGUUAAUGUAGGGUCUCUAAUUUAUUGUAGAGUAAUAUUCAUUGGGACACAACACAACCCGUUUAUCUGUAAGAUGCUCCUGCAAACAACAGCUAGCUAGGGGUCAACAUGUGAGCCAAACCUACUUGUGGCACAAAGCAACACCCUCACUCACCAAGAAGAGGUGACUCUUGUUGCAUAGCGAGAGAACAACCCUAAAACUUUGCAUGUUGUUGAACAUAUAUGGACUAGUAUUUGGUGGCAAUUAAAUGAAGUUUAAAAUUAAUUAACCCCAUAAUUGGAAUCAAAUCUUUCUUCACUUUUAUUGUCAAGUCAUCCACAAACCGGAAUCAAACACACUUCAAUUUUAACUAGCUUAAAUUCAUGUCCAAAAUAUGACUCAAUUUAACUAGUAUCGAUCAAAAACAACAAAUAAAUGAAUGAAAUUGAGUAAAGCAUUAAUUUAUUUCUUCAAUUUAUUGUAUCCAUGCAUAUUAAUUGUCAACAAAAUGCAGAUGAUAUAUUCUAUUAUUACACUAGAAAUUCAUAGAGAAAAUUAACAUAUUCUUCUAUUACUUCGCAUAUACAUACACGUGCACAUCCCUGCUUUGCUUCAUGGAGGGUAAAUUGGGAAUUUCAUGAUGUCUUCCUCACUCUAACUAACACUUCCCUGAGAAUUUUCUAGAUCUGCAAACUAAGCCGUUAUUCCAAUCCUUUCCUUUUUUGCUUCAUUUGUUUCUCUAUCAAAUCAACAAAAGCAAGAAAGAUGAUGAGAGAACAAUUGGAUUGAAGAGAGAGAAAGAUGAAGGAGACGCGGCGGAAGGUGGCGGAGGACUGUAGUAGUAGAAAGGAAAAUAAGGAACAAUCGGAUUAGGUGGUGGU
rnacentral:lncRNA from 1 species